rnacentral:lncRNA from 1 species
GCCGCCCGAUGGGCUCGGAGGCAGGGCGGCGCCGGUGGUCACGCAGGCGCAGCCCCUACCCAGCGGGGCGUGUCGCGAGCCGCCCCCUCACCCCCGUCGGGGUCACCAAAACUCCCGGAGGCCUUUCCCCGGGGCGGCCGGGGGCCUGUUACCAGCAGUCGCCGCCCUGCCUUGACUGCCUGGGUGAAUCAGGUGCUAACCCCGGAGCCUGGUCUUGCGGCUCCCCUGCCUGGGUUUUCUGAGUGCGACCGAUUUAGGCAGGGUGGGGGGAUUCCUGCGGCCCUGCCCCACCCACGAAGACCGAGAAGGCUCGCCGGUGGAGAAAGGUGGGCUCGGUGACUCAUCUCUGGGAUGACCUAACCUCCCCAACCUGGCAGAGCAGCUGUCCGGACUCAGCCCUCAUACCGUGACUGUGGACGUCUAGUGUGCCCCCUUCUGAUUAUAAACUGGCUCUGAGCCGUCCUGGAAGACAUGGGUGUCCAGUGGGCUGCUUGAAGCCAUGCAGCGCAGCAGGACUGUGGGGAUGGGCCCUUCGAUGACCUCGCCCUUUGAAAGACCACCAAUUUCCAGCCCUCCGAGCAGUAUUCUGAUUAUGAACUUGUUUUCCUUCUUCUAUUUAAGAGGUUUGGGGACCUUAGAUCUCAGAGCACAGGUAUCCGGAGAGUGUGGAGUCAGAAAAACAGCAAGAGGAAUGAAUAUCCAGGUAGGUCAGCCGGCCAGAGACAGGGUGGAGAGGCUGGGAGGAGGUGAAUGGGGAGACACUAGCAGGCAUGUGGUUGCGAGUGAAUAGAUUCUAUGGAUGUGGGUUCCCAGCAGGGUUGGCAGAGACGUGGUGCGGUCAGGCAGAUUAUGGAGCAGCGUAUCAGGCAAAGAGGGAGAUAAGACAGAGCCUUGUUUCCCAAAGAUUGAGGGAAGGUGACACUGUGGUCAGCUUACGUCUACUCCUGUGUAUUGUCAGUAUACCUCAUUUCCAAAAUUGUAAGCUUCAUGAGCACAAGGACAAGUUCCCAUCAGUCUCAGUAGUCAGCACCUACUUUGUGGGGAAGCAGUCAAACGUUUGCUAAUUAAGGAGAGAAAACACAACUGGGACAUUGUUGCAUUUAUCCAGCUGUGAGGUUCACAGAGAAGUCACCCUGUCUAUCCAGCCUGCCUUUCCUAGAGCAAUGCAAUUUCCAUGUGGGAUGGCUGCGAUCUAGGAGUGACCCAAGCCCCAUUGGGCUUUGUUUUUGAAGCUGAUAUGAUAUACACUGUGACAGAGACAAAGACAGAAAGACACACGGACAGAGCGAGAGAUUUCUCGUGGGGCCCUCACGUAUUGCUGUACCCUUUCUCUUCCUCCUGAUUUGCGGCCACAGCUGUGUUUGGCUGUGCCGGGUACUUUCUGUCAUUCUGCCUUUGGCAGCAUGUUGGUCUUCGAGCUUGGGUGAGGGAACCAUUCCUGGUUUCUGAACACCAUCUUGCAGGUUGGCUGGGAUUCUGUUUCUUGUCUGGAAUGGUUUGAUUCCACCUGCACACUUGCCUGCCUCUGCCAAGGGAGGCUCUACCUAAGACAGCAGACAGGUCCUUUAAAACUUUCCAUGGUGAAAAAAAAAAAACCCAAAAAACAAAAAACAAAACAGAAGUUCCCAUCGUGGCGCAUUGGAAAUGAAUCCAACUAGGAACCAUGAGGUUGCUCAGUGGGUUAAUGAUCCGGCGUUGCUGUGAGCUGUGGUAUACAUUGAAGAUGCGGCUUGGAUCCUGUGUUGCUGUGGUUCUGGCGCAGGCCCGUGGCUGCAGCUCUGAUUAGAUCCCUAGCCUGGAAACCUCCACAUGCUGCCAGUGCGGCCCUAAAAAGACAAAAGACACACAAAAAAACUUUUCAUGAAUGAUUCAGUAGAAUAAUUGUCUUUUUCAUCUGUAUUUGACAUGUCUGGUAUAAGAUCCAAGAUGAGCCUUGCAUUUUACCCUAACUCACCUGGGCACGGACGUACUAAGUUGCCUUCUCUAUAGGACUGUUUUCAUGGUGUCCCAACCUUCAUAAAACCCUUUUCCAAGUGACCACAGGCCCUGUAAUCUAGUGGAGAAUGGGAAGGUCCCUAAAUGUCCCUGGUCAGCGGAUUCCAUCCAUCUGCAUUUGCAGCACCUGCACACCCAGCUGCCCAGAGGCACACUUCUGCCUCUUCAAAUGCCUUUGGGGCAGGGGACAGCCUGAAGUGAAGACGUCAGAGAAGAUGGCAAAGGGAGGCCCCAGGUGCGGCCACCUCCUUAGAGAAAUACCCUCCUCUGCGAACUGCUGCUUCCGGCUCUUCCUACCAAAGACCUCCAUGUAGUUUAGUUUUGUUUGCCCCGCCCCUUUUAUGUAAAACGGAAAUUGAACUAGAUCUGAAGACAUUAAAAAGCGUCUGGGUAGGGGCUGGAGGGAGAAGGGGGUUUCCUCAGAGAAUGGAAUGUCCCAAGAGAAAUCUCACUUACCGUGAGUGGGGAAGCCCGCCUCAUAUGACAUGAUGGCGUCGUUGUUCCACACGCUGUUGGCCAGUUUGUUAAUGUGGACAUCACUGUUUUGAUUAGUCAUUGGUUGUUAAGACUCUGCGAAUGAUGGAAAGACCGUCAUAUAGAAGGUGCUGCUCAAACUAGACAAGACCAGGAUCAUUUUCCUUCUUAUCCACAACCGGACGUUUGUAUUUCCUUAAUGACCACGUCUUGGUUUGCAGGAGACCACCUGCCUCCACCCCAGACAAGACAGUGUCACACAGAGCCGCGUAGUGUUUCAAGACUGGCCCCUUCUCUGUGCCUUCUGGCCUGUGGUUUUUUUUUGUUUGUUUGUUUGUUUUUUCACCAUCUAUGUCACACCUGUGUGAUCUUUCUAUGCAGGGCUUCAGCUUCAGAUCUGCACACCCAACAACUAACACAGGAGCAACUGCAACACAAGGUGUGCUCAGCUCACAGGAAGUCAGGGUGUGUUUCUCCUUCACCUCUCACACAGGCAGUACCCCUGGAAGGGAGCAGGGAAGUCUGAGGCAAAGCUUGGCCUGAUUCAUCGAUGCACAACUUGCAUACAGUACAGACCAGAACAAUGUCAGUCUAAAAACGUUUGUAUUUGGCUUUGUAAUGACAUUACUGUCUCCCCCAUUAUGUCCCAAAAUACAAGGGAGUGCUUACCUGUGACACAUGGAGGUUCCCAGGCUCGGGGUCAAAUUGGAGCCACAGCAAUGCUGGAUCCUUAACCCACUGAGCGAGGCCAGGAAUCAAACCCGCAUUCUCAUGGGUACUACUCAGGUUCAUUACCGCUGAGCCUCGGCAGGAACUCUCCCAGGACUUUUCUGCUGGGGCUUCUCUCUCCAACUGGAAGAAGCCAGCAGUGUAAUUUGCAUCUUUGGGGACCUUCAACAAGUUCACUAGAUCCCUGCCAGCCCAGUCAUCAUUCCCUUAACGAAACUUCAUUUAUCAGGUUGGGAAUCCUGAGACCUCAGAUUUAAGCUAUACAACUUUGAGAAUUUUGUUGGUAACACCCAGAGCAAGUGUUAGAUUGGGGGAAGGAGGACUUUCUCUUCUUUUCUCAUGAGAAAUCACUUUGAGAUGGACAAAGGUUGAUCUUGGCCACAGUUUUUAAUGUUUUUUGUUUGUUUUGGUUCAUAAUAGUCUGCCUAAAGAUCAGAAUAAAGUGGGUAAUACUUUUUAAAAUAAUCAUUUUAUUUUAGAAUAUGUUUAGAUUUAUUAAAAAGUUGUUGAGAGUUCCCGUCGUGGCUCAAUGGUUAAUGAACCCAACUAGAAUCCAUCAGGACACGGGUUCAAUCCUUGGCCUCUCUCAGUGGGUUAAGGAUCUGGCAUUGCUGUGAGCUGUGGUGUAGGUCACAGACAUGGCUUGGAUCCUGUGUUGCUAUGGCUGUGGCUGUGGCUGGCAGCUAUAGCUCUGAUUCGACCCCUAGCCUGGGAACCUCCAUAUGCCUCAGGUGCAGCCC